CUGGAACAUAACGAGGCCUAGCGGUAUGCCGAUCAUGGCAUAGCACAUAGUGAAGAGUUUUCCGGAAAUCGUGCUUGGUGUCGAAUGCCCAUAACCGAUCGUGGUCAAUACGGUAAUUGCAAAAUUUCAGAACUACCGUUUCCAUUAUACGAUAGUCCUCGUCAGUAAUGUUAUACUUCCUUCGAAUUAUUGACUGGAUUUCUGUAUAAAAUUUGUAAUAAUAUUGAGUACAUAAAAUAUUACAUAUAAUAGUAAGUAUUUUGUAGUUUCAGAUGUUGAGUGAUGUUAAAAAUUGUGAUUAAAUUUGUGGAGAAUAUUAUAUAUUUUAUUUUUAAAUCCAGAAGGCUAAUGUAUAGUA